AUAUUACAAUUAGCUGAUCUUU
rnacentral:miRNA from 1 species